rnacentral:rRNA from 1 species
GAUGGAUAGGGGUUCUGAGAGGAAGGUCCCCCACAUUGGAACUGAGACACGGUCCAAACUCCUACGGGAGGCAGCAGUGAGGAAUAUUGGUCAAUGGGCGCUAGCCUGAACCAGCCAAGUAGCGUGAAGGAUGACUGCCCUAUGGGUUGUAAACUUCUUUUAUAUGGGAAUAAAGUGCAGUAUGUAUACUGCUUUGCAUGUACCUUAUGAAUAAGGAUCGGCUAACUCCGUGCCAGCAGCCGCGGUAAUACGGAGGAUCCGAGCGUUAUCCGGAUUUAUUGGGUUUAAAGGGAGCGUAGGCGGGUUGUUAAGUCAGUUGUGAAAGUUUGCGGCUCAACCGUAAAAUUGCAGUUGAUACUGGCAUCCUUGAGUACAGUAGAGGUAGGCGGAAUUCGUGGUGUAGCGGUGAAAUGCUUAGAUAUCACGAAGAACUCCGAUUGCGAAGGCAGCCUGCUGGACUGUAACUGACGCUGAUGCUCGAAAGUGUGGGUAUCAAACAGGAUUAGAUACCCUGGUAGUCCACACAGUAAACGAUGAAUACUCGCUGUUUGCGAUA